rnacentral:tRNA from 1 species
GCCUGGUUGGCUCAGUUGGUAGGGCAUGCAACUCUUGACCUCAGGGUUGUGAGUUCAAGCCUCACAUUGGGUG